GAUGAACGCUGGCGGUAUGCCUAACACAUGCAAGUCGUACGAGAGUUUUUAACUCUAGUGGCGGACGGGUGAGUAACACGUGAGAAUUUGCCUUUAGGAGGGGGACAACAAUUGGAAACGAAUGCUAAUACCCCAUAUGCUUUCGAGUGAAAUGGAUUUUAUCCGCCUAGAGAGAAGCUCGCGGCUGAUUAGCUUGUUGGUAAGGUAAGAGCUUACCAAGGCGACGAUCAGUAUCUGGUUUGAGAGGACGAUCAGACACACUGGAACUGAGACACGGUCCAGACUCCUACGGGAGGCAGCAGUGGGGAAUUUUCCGCAAUGGGCGAAAGCCUGACGGAGCAAUACCGCGUGAGGGAAGAAUGCCUAUGGGUUGUAAACCUCUUUUUUCAGGGUAGGAAUAAAAUGACGUGUACCUGAAGAAUAAGCAUCGGCUAACUCCGUG
rnacentral:rRNA from 1 species